AUGCUGGAGGUAUCAGAAGUGCGAAUGCUGACGUGAGUAACGACAAAACGGGUGAAAAACCCGUUCGCCGAAAGACCAAGGGUUCCAGUCCAACGUUAAUCGGGGCUGGGUGAGUCGACCCCUAAGGCGAGGCCGAAAGGCGUAGUCGAUGGGAAAAUGGUUAAUAUUCCAUUACUUCUGUGUAAUGCGAUGAGAGGACGGAGAAGGCUAAAUCAGCCUGGCGUUGGUUGUCCAGGUGAAAGGAUGUAGGCAUGUAUCUUAGGCAAAUCCGGGGUACUCUAUGCUGAGAUCUGAUAGCAAGCUGUACUUGUACAGCGAAGUGGUUGAUGCCAUGCUUCCAGGAAAAGUCUCUAAGCUUCAGUUACACAGGAAUCGUACCCGAAACCGACACAGGUGGUCAGGUCGAGUAGACCAAGGCGCUUGAGAGAACUCUGCUGAAGGAACUAGGCAAAAUGGUACCGUAACUUCGGGAGAAGGUACGCUGUUGUUGGUGAUGGAACUCGCUUCCUGAGCUGACGACAGCCGCAGAAACCAGGCCGCUGCAACUGUUUAUUAAAAACAUAGCACUCUGCAAACACGAAAGUGGACGUAUAGGGUGUGAUGCCUGCCCGGUGCUGGAAGGUUAAUUGAUGGGGUUAGCGUAAGCGAAGCUCUUGAUCGAAGCCCCAGUAAACGGCGGCCGUAACUAUAACGGUCCUAAGGUAGCGAAAUUCCUUGUCGGGUAAGUUCCGACCUGCACGAAUGGCAUAAUGAUGGCGGCGCUGUCUCCAGCAGAGGCUCAGUGAAAUCGAAAUCGCUGUGAAGAUGCAGUGUACCCGCGGCUAGACGGAAAGACCCCGUGAACCUUUACUGCAGCUUGACACUGAACUUUGACCUUACUUGUGUAGGAUAGGUGGGAGGCUUUGAAGCUGGAACGCUAGUUCCAGUGGAGCCGUCCUUGAAAUACCACCCUGGUAAUGUUGAGGUUCUAACUCUGUCCCGUGAUCCGGGACGAGGACCGUGUCUGGUGGGUAGUUUGACUGGGGCGGUCUCCUCCUAAAGAGUAACGGAGGAGUACGAAGGUGCGCUCAGCGUGGUCGGAAAUCACGCGUAGAGUAUAAAGGCAAAAGCGCGCUUAACUGCGAGACCCACAAGUCGAGCAGGUACGAAAGUAGGUCUUAGUGAUCCGGUGGUUCUGUAUGGAAGGGCCAUCGCUCAACGGAUAAAAGGUACUCUGGGGAUAACAGGCUGAUACCGCCCAAGAGUUCAUAUCGACGGCGGUGUUUGGCACCUCGAUGUCGGCUCAUCUCAUCCUGGGGCUGAAGCAGGUCCCAAGGGUAUGGCUGUUCGCCAUUUAAAGAGGUACGCGAGCUGGGUUUAGAACGUCGUGAGACAGUUCGGUCCCUAUCUACCGUGGGCGCUGGAAAUUUGAGAGGAUCUGCUCCUAGUACGAGAGGACCAGAGUGGACGAACCUCUGGUGUACCGGUUGUGACGCCAGUCGCAUCGCCGGGUAGCUAUGUUCGGAAGGGAUAACCGCUGAAAGCAUCUAAGCGGGAAGCCUACCUCAAGAUAAGAUUUCCCUAGGACUUUAUGUCCUCUAAAGAGCCGUUCGAGACUAGGACGUUGAUAGGUCGGAUGUGGAAGCAUAGUGAUAUGUGAAGCUGACCAAUACUAAUUGCUCGUGAGGCUUGACUAU
rnacentral:rRNA from 1 species